rnacentral:rRNA from 1 species
GAGCUUGCUCCACCGAAAGAAAAAGAGUGGCGAACGGGUGAGUAACACGUGGGUAACCUGCCCAUCAGAAGGGGAUAACACUUGGAAACAGGUGCUAAUACCGUAUAACACUAUUUUCCGCAUGGAAGAAAGUUGAAAGGCGCUUUUGCGUCACUGAUGGAUGGACCCGCGGUGCAUUAGCUAGUUGGUGAGGUAACGGCUCACCAAGGCAACGAUGCAUAGCCGACCUGAGAGGGUGAUCGGCCACACUGGGACUGAGACACGGCCCAGACUCCUACGGGAGGCAGCAGUAGGGAAUCUUCGGCAAUGGACGAAAGUCUGACCGAGCAACGCCGCGUGAGUGAAGAAGGUUUUCGGAUCGUAAAACUCUGUUGUUAGAGAAGAACAAGGAUGAGAGUAAAAUGUUCAUCCCUUGACGGUAUCUAACCAGAAAGCCACGGCUAACUACGUGCCAGCAGCCGCGGUAAUACGUAGGUGGCAAGCGUUGUCCGGAUUUAUUGGGCGUAAAGCGAGCGCAGGCGGUUUCUUAAGUCUGAUGUGAAAGCCCCCGGCUCAACCGGGGAGGGUCAUUGGAAACUGGGAGACUUGAGUGCAGAAGAGGAGAGUGGAAUUCCAUGUGUAGCGGUGAAAUGCGUAGAUAUAUGGAGGAACACCAGUGGCGAAGGCGGCUCUCUGGUCUGUAACUGACGCUGAGGCUCGAAAGCGUGGGGAGCGAACAGGAUUAGAUACCCUGGUAGUCCACGCCGUAAACGAUGAGUGCUAAGUGUUGGGGUUUCCGCCCUUAGUGC